rnacentral:rRNA from 1 species
AGUGAACGCUGGCGGUAGGCCUAACACAUGCAAGUCGAACGGCAGCACAGUAAGAGUUUGCUCUUACGGGUGGCGAGUGGCGGACGGGUGAGGAAUGCAUCGGAAUCUACUUUUUCGUGGGGGAUAACGUAGGGCAGCUUACGCUACUACAGCAUAUGACGUACGGGUGAAAGCAGGGGUUCUUCGCACCUUUCGCGAUUGAAUGAGCCGAUGUCGGAUUAGCUAGUUGGCAGGGUAAAGGCCCACCAAGGCGAGGAUCCGUAGCUGGUCUGAGAGGAUGAUCAGCCACACUGGAACGGAGACACGUUCCAGAUUCCAAGGGGGGGCAGAGUAGGGAAACAUUGGACAAGGGGGGAAAGUCUGAUCCAGCCAUACCGCGGAGUGGAAGAAGGCCUUCGAGUUGUAAAGCCCUUUUGUUGGGAAAGAAAAGCAUCUGAGUAAUACCCCGCUGUUCUGACGGUACCCAAAGGAUAAGCACCGGCUAACUUCGUG